rnacentral:rRNA from 1 species
GAUGAACGCUGGCGGCGUGCUUAACACAUGCAAGUCGAACGAAGCACUUUAUUUGAUUUCCUUCGGGACUGAUUAUUUUGUGACUGAGUGGCGGACGGGUGAGUAACGCGUGGGUAACCUGCCUUGUACAGGGGGAUAACAGUUGGAAACGGCUGCUAAUACCGCAUAAGCGCACGGCAUCGCAUGAUGCAGUGUGAAAAACUCCGGUGGUAUAAGAUGGACCCGCGUUGGAUUAGCUAGUUGGUGAGGUAACGGCCCACCAAGGCGACGAUCCAUAGCCGACCGGAGAGGGUGACCGGCCACAUUGGGAAUGAGCCACGGCCAAGACUCCUACGGGAGGCAGCAGUGGGGAAUAUUGCACAAUGGGCGAAAGCCUGAUGCAGCGACGACGCGUGAGCGAAGAAGUAUUUCGGUAUGUAAAGCUCUAUCAGCAGGGAAGAUAAUGACGGUACCUGACUAAGAAGCACCGGCUAAAUACGUG